UACGUAUGGUGCAAGCGUUAUCCGGAUUUACUGGGCGUAAAGGGAGCGCAGGCGGCGCGCCAAGUCUGAUGUGAAACCCCGGGGCUCAACCCCGGGCAUGCAUUGGAAACUGGCGGGCUGGAGUGCCGGAGAGGUAAGCGGAAUUCCUAGUGUAGCGGUGAAAUGCGUAGACAUAAGGAAGAACACCAGUGGCGAAGGCGGAUGACUGGACGGCAACUGACGGUGAGGCGCGAAAGCGUGGGGAGCAAACAGG
rnacentral:rRNA from 1 species